AAUGUGUUGAGGUUUUUUUUUUUAUUUGUAUAUUUUAUUAUUUAUUAACGUAUUAAAAUGAGUGAUAGCAGAAAACGUUUAAGUGGAAGUGCUUAUAAAAAAGUUGCUAAAUUAAAAUUAGAAAAAGAACAAAAAGUCAUUUCUCAAACCGCAAAAUUAACUUCAUUUUUUGGCAAUCAAUCUCCAAUUCGCCAAGUGAAAUAGAGACUACAGCUGAACAGAUUUUAAAUGAGUCUAGUGAUAAAAAUGAACAUCCUCUACAUAGUACUUUUGAAACCAUGGCAAAUGAAAAUCAAUUAAUUGAAUAUUCGGAAUUAUUAAAUACGCCAACUAAAAAACCCAAUCCAACACUUUUGGGGGGCGGCAAAAUUCCUAAAUGCGACCCUACGUAUGCGUCCUUAAAACUACAUUAAAUUAAAGAUUUUUUGAUGAAAAAAAGAAAAGCUCUUUAAGUGUACUUAAAUUUUAA